rnacentral:tRNA from 1 species
GGAGCUGUGAUUCAAUGGAAGAGCCUCUGCUUUGCAUGCAGAGGAUCCGUGGUUCAAACCCCAGCAUCUCUA